rnacentral:rRNA from 1 species
CCUACGGGUGGCAGCAGUGAGGAAUAUUGGUCAAUGGGCGCGAGCCUGAACCAGCCAAGUAGCGUGAAGGAUGACUGCCCCACGGGUUGUAAACUUCUUUUAUAAAGGAAUAAAGUGAGGCACGUGUGCCUUUCUGUAUGUACUUUAUGAAUAAGGAUCGGCUAACUACGUGCCAGCAGCCGCGGUCAUACGUAGGAUCCGAGCAUUAUCCGGAGUGACUGGGUGUAAAGAGUUGCGUAGGUGGCAUAAUAAGUAGCUAGUGAAAUCUGGUGGCUCAACCAUUCAGACUAUUAGCUAAACUGGUAGGCUCGAGACCGUGAGAGGUAACUGGAAUGUGUAGUGUAGGAGUGAAAUCCGUAGAUAUUAGAAAGAACACCGAUAGCGUAGGCAGGUUGCUGGGACGGUUCUGACACUAAGGCACGAAAGCGUAGGGAGCAAACGGGAUUAGAUACCCGUGUAGUC